rnacentral:rRNA from 1 species
GGAUAUGAAAUAGAGGAGAGUGAGAGGAAUAGGGAAGUGUGCGUGCGGAUCGGUAGCUUCGGCGGCGUACGGUGCGGCGUUCGGACUCCCGGAGUACGGCGGCGGCGAGCGGGGAAAGAAACAUCCAGCGGCUGCGUUGGGACCCGGGGCCCCAGCAAGGGAGUAGGGGUGGUCCGAGCUCCUCCGGGCUCCUCCGCCGGUACUCCUCGCGCGUCGGCGGUUUCGGUACCCGUCUAGGUCGGGCGCAGCAGCCAUCGGUAGAGAGGGAGCCCGCCGGUACUUCUUAACCUCUCCGGACUCGUCUUGCUCGCGUACCUGCCACGCGUGGAGGGCGCUAUCCUCGGUGGUCAGGAGCAGUAGACGAGCGUAGGUGCUCCUUAGCUAGGUAUAUUACAAACGCCCCUCGAGCCAAUCACAGCUACGGAGUUCCCGAAUACGUAUAGUUAAGGUACGACGAAUUUCGGUGACAUUAGUACCGAAGACCAAAGGUCUAAGCUUUCUUCGUAUUAACUCAACCUCGACUUAAUAAGACAACCUAUUUCUUCGUUUAUAUUAAUCUUCUAAAAUGAAUCGUUAUUGGCAUGAAAUGUAACUAUCUAACUUUUUACAUUAUCGUCAGUCUUGUAGAAAAAGAAACCAGCUUAACUAUGUUUACGAUACCACAUUAUAAGAGGUAUCUGCACAAGAGAUAACAUUUAAACUAUACUUACUAUACAACAAGUUGGUUAUUGUAACCAUAAAUAAAUAACAUUACGUAUACAUAGGAUGUGAGAACAUAUAAGUAUUAUUUAUGGAACUAUAAAAGUUAA